GCGGUUUCUGAUAUACUGACUCUAUAUCGGUGAUGUUGGCAUAUCGACUGUAUGUCGGUACUUGCAAUAUAUCUAGUGACCAUCGAUUGGUGACUUUGAUAUAUCGAUUGAUCAUUGAUUAUAAAAUCAAUCGAGUCAUUAUAGUUGACUUGGAUCCAUCAGAAAAGUCGAUUGAAAAUUACUGACUGUCUGUCGAUGUAUCGACUGAUAGUCGGAUGCUCGUGUCCUUGGCAAAGAUAGAAAGUUGGAUGAUGAGCUUUGUAAAUAUCAUAGUUGAACUAGAACUCGUUCAGCGGUCCGGCUUUUAUGAUUCUCCAUAGAAUACCGACACAUAUUCGGAUUGCCAAUUGUGAAUCGAGAGGAGC
rnacentral:lncRNA from 1 species